GGCGUGGUGGCUGAGCAGUAAAGCGCUUGGCUUCUGAACCGGGGGGUCCCGGGUUCGAAUCCUGGCGAAGACU
rnacentral:tRNA from 1 species